rnacentral:rRNA from 1 species
UACGAAGGGGGCUAGCGUUGCUCGGAAUCACUGGGCGUAAAGGGUGCGUAGGCGGGUCUUUAAGUCAGGGGUGAAAUCCUGGAGCUCAACUCCAGAACUGCCUUUGAUAAUGAGGAUCUUGAGUUCGGGAGAGGUGAGUGGAACUGCGAGUGUAGAGGUGAAAUUCGUAGAUAUUCGCAAGAACACCAGUGGCGAAGGCGGCUCACUGGCCCGAUACUGACGCUGAGGCACGAAAGCGUGGGGAGCAAACAGG